rnacentral:SRP_RNA from 1 species
UGCAGCCGGGGAGGUAGCGGUGCCUUGUACCUGCAAUCCGCUAUAGCAGGGGUGUAGUCUCAUGGAGGGUUUGGUCUUUAGGAGCAGCCCGGAGCAAGUGGCGUUGACGCUUGGGUCCUGUGCAACAGGGACUCGUGAACCGUGUCAGGUCGGGAACGAAGCAGCACUAAGCGAUGCUCCUUGUGUGUCGCAGGGUCACCUGGGCCGAGUUAACUGCUUCGGUAACGUCCGGUGGAACAGAUUCGAAGUGAGACGCACG